UAUCUGAAUUUCUGUUCUUUGUCACUCUUUAUUUCAGUAGGUAAUUCUUGAGAAUUCUUGCACUUUAAGUGGAUUUGAUGCUGAAUUAUGAUAUGGGUUUUCAUUCUUCUCCAAGAUUUUUCCAUAAAAUCUAGCAAUUCUAGAAAUCUUGAGGGAGGAGAUUUGACAUUGAUGUAGAAUUGACUACUUCUCCUUCCCACAACAGUACGUUUGAGUCCAUGCAUGAAAAAAGCAUAUGCAUGAAAAGUAAGUAGCUAAAGAAAAAUGCAAAAACAAUUACAUAAAACUUAAAGAAAAUUGUGGGUUAAUGAUUAACCAAUUAAAGACAGUGAUGAUUGAAUGAGAAAUUGCGAAUAAAAAAGAAGAAGAAGAAGAAGAAGAAGAAGAAGAAGAAGAAGAAAGAAGAAGAAGAGAGAGAAGAUUCCCUAGCUUUCCUCUUUAUCGUCAAUGAUGAUAGUUCUUCCUGUUGGCCUUUUGGCUUAGCUUCUAGCAUGAUCUCCUACAUUUCCGUGAAAAAGGUUAAACUUUGUCACUUUGUGACAUCAGAUUUUAACCACUCUCCUUCAAACCUGACAUCAUAUUUUUUUUACCUUUCUUUCUCUUUCUAUAUGAACAUGAUUCUGUGUUCUAGUCCUUUUCUUUUUGGGUGGGAUCUCAACAGUGGUAGUUGAGGAGUAUAUAUAUAAAUAUGCAAUAAGAUAUUAUGUCAUAAUUGACAUUUCCUAGCUGUCUAGCUGAUGAUCUCAACUGUCCAACCAGCACAAUUAUUCUUCUUUCUUUACUAGCUGCUUCUAUUUUCUUUUCUUUCCCUUGACAAUAAUUAAUUACUAUUUCUUCUUGUUUCUCCUUUAUUGAUCUUACUUGCACCUUGGUUGUGCCUUGCAUUAUAACCAAGUUUUCAAAUUCCUGUUUUCAGAUAUGUUACUUGUCAAUUAUAAUUCUUCUGUAUCAAUUUGCACAAAAUUACCCUUCCUUUUGAUAUAAAGAAAUUCAAAAUGAUUUGGCUUUAGAUACCAAUAUAUAUAUAUAUAUAUGGGUGUCCCAUGGCAGUAACUUCACCUUUUUCUUGAUUUGAUUUCAAAAAUUUCUGAAUAGACUUUUUAACCUAUACUUAUGAUUUAUGGAAUGCACGUACGUUUUCCCCUCUUCUACGCCUUUCAUUUCUUGAACAUAAUAAUUAACCUUACCUUCUUACUCUUAGAAUUCUUAGUUUCAGGAUAUAUAAUUAUUUCAUUUUGAGUAGAGCGAUAUAUUUGUAUACAGUGUCAGUGUUGUUACUUGUAUAUGAUUUUGGCAGGUUAGAUGGUCUGCGGUGCCAAUUUUGUUACUUCUAUAUGGUUCUUGGCAGGAUUGCCUACUCCAUCAGUAUCCAAUGAAGUCACUUUGUGAUGCAACAUGGUAUUCAAGUACUGUAAGCUUUUCUGUUUGAUAUAUAGUAAGAUUUUUUUAUUUUCUGUGUUCUUCUUCUUUUCUAUUUCUUUUUUCCCAAUUUAAAAAAUGACCCAAGAAUUAAUAAUAACAUUUUAUUUUUUAUUAA